GCUGAGCAUGGUGGUGCAUGCCUGUAAUCCCAGCUACUCAGGAGGCUGAGGCAGGAGAAUUGCUUGAACCCAGGAGGCGGAGGUUGCAGUGAGCCAAGAUCACGCCACUGCACUCCAGCCUGGGUAACAGAGUGAGACUCUGUCUCAA
ensembl:misc_RNA Metazoa_SRP Metazoan signal recognition particle RNA